UACAGAGGGGGCAAGCGUUGUUCGGAAUUACUGGGCGUAAAGAGCGUGUAGGCGGUCCGGUAAGUCCGCUGUGAAAGUCGGGGGCUCAACCCUCGAAUGCCGGUGGAUACUGUCGGGCUAGAGUGCGGAAGAGGCGAGUGGAAUUCCUGGUGUAGCGGUGAAAUGCGCAGAUAUCAGGAGGAACACCUAUUGCGAAGGCAGCUCGCUGGGACGUUACUGACGCUGAGACGCGAAAGCGUGGGGAGCAAACAGG
rnacentral:rRNA from 1 species